AAAACUUACCUUAUGAAAACGAGUACACUCCCAACCCCAAUGUGAACGUUACCAAUCUGUUGCCUCGGCGGGAUUCUCUUGCCCCGGGCGCGUCGCAGCCCCGGAUCCCAUGGCGCCCGCCGGAGGACCAACUCCAAACUCUUUUUUUCUCUCCGUCGCGGCUCCCGUCGCGGCUCUGUUUUAUUUUUGCUCUGAGCCUUUCUCGGCGACCCUAGCGGGCGUCUCGAAAAUGAAUCAAAACUUUCAACAACGGAUCUCUUGGUUCUGGCAUCGAUGAAGAACGCAGCGAAAUGCGAUAAGUAAUGUGAAUUGCAGAAUUCAGUGAAUCAUCGAAUCUUUGAACGCACAUUGCGCCCGCCAGUAUUCUGGCGGGCAUGCCUGUCCGAGCGUCAUUUCAACCCUCGAACCCCUCCGGGGGGUCGGCGUUGGGGAUCGGCCCCUCACCGGGCCGCCCCCGAAAUACAGUGGCGGUCUCGCCGCAGCCUCUCCUGCGCAGUAGUUUGCACACUCGCACCGGGAGCGCGGCGCGGCCACAGCCGUAAAACACCCCAAACUUCUGAAAUGUUGACCUCGGAUCAGGUAGGAAUACCCGCUGAACUUAAGCAUAUCAAUAAGCGGAGGAA
rnacentral:rRNA from 1 species